rnacentral:misc_RNA from 1 species
GGAGACACAAGACAGCUGCAUUGAAAUAAAACUUUAUUAAAUCAGUGAUAGCAGUGGCUUGACAUUGAUUACAGUCUCUUUUGUGCUCUACCAACUGCAGGGAAAAUUAGGGAUCGAAACACGUCAAGUCUCUACUGAAUAUAAUGUCCUUGGCUGAGGUCAAGGCGUUCUUUAUUAUGCUGUAAACAUUUCAAACAAAAGGUAGCGAGUUUGUAAUCCUGAUUAAUCAUUCAAUUCUUUAUCUAUAUGAUCUGUCCCUGGUAGCUUCAAUGGCAUCAUCAACCAUGUACCAUAAACAUCUAUUCCUUAAUCGAAAUAAAGCCAAGCUUUUGAAGUUCUAGUUUGGUUGUUGGUUCCUCAUUCAUUGUCCAGUCAAUUGUAAUCUCAAGACUGCUUUGCUCAUAAUCAAUAACUUCUGAAUAUUUCAUGUGAUCCUGGAUUCAAGUUAGAAUGCUCAAACUUCCAUCCCCAACUCAUGCCACUUGUUUUAUUAUGAAAGUGACACAUCAUGGUACCAUUUAUCCAUAAUUGCUCGAAAUAAUUUCAAAAUUUAUACCUCCAAUACUCUGAAGGACAUCCUCAGGCUAAUGAAAGUUUUCUUGUGAUCAACUUCCUCAGAUAACUAAAAAUCCUAGCUCUAAAGCGCCAUCAUCAAUGCAAAUCAGGCAACCAAAUUAUCAAAAUCCAAAUGCUUUGAAUUUCAUUGUUACUGAUGACCCAAAAAGUCUGAGUCAAAUCCUUCAGAUCGUAAAAUGUUAUGAAUUUGCAUAUUUGUUUCAUAUAAGACAUCCAUUUGACUAAGUGAUUCAGCUUCAGCAAAGAAUUCAUGAACAAGACCAUUUAUUUCAACAAAUGAGCAACCCGGUUUCUUCUGUAUUUUCUGACGAGCCAUACACUUUCUCACUCUGCUCACAUCACCCCACCUUGAAGCUGAAGCAUAAACAUGGGACAAUAGAAUUUGUGCCUCAGACUUUCUUGGCUCCAAUUCCUCAAUUUUGUUGGUCGCAAGCUCCGCUAAUUCUAUAUUCCCAUGACUCCUACAAGCAAAUAGCAGGGAUCGCCAUGUCACCACAUCAGGUUGAACAGGCAUCGCCCUGAUGAACUUUUCAGCCUCAACCAUUAAGUUAGCACGGCCAAGAAGAUCAACCAUACAUCCAUAAUGUUCAAUACGUGGCUUAAUAUGAUGAAUAAGACUCAUGGCUUUAAAAUAGUGAAACCCCUUAUCCACAAAACCACCAUGACUACAAGCAGACAAGACACCGAGGAAUGUAACCUCAUUUGGCUUAACAUCACUUGACAUUUCCAUCUGUGCAAACAGGUCCAAUGCUUCAUCAGAGUUCCCAUUCAUGGCAAGCCCAGAAAUCAUUGAGGUCCAUGAAAAUACAUCUCUCUUAACCAAUACAUCUCUCUUAACUAAUACAUCUCUCUUAACCAUCUCAUUGAAAAUCUGGCGAGCCUUUUCAACUUCUCCACAUUUUGAAUACAUAUCUAUCAAAGCAUUUCUCACAGAGAGGUUCAUGUCAAUACCAUUCCUUUCACAGUAAGCAUGCACCCAUCUUCCCUGAUCCAGGGCUCCCAAAUGUCCACACGCAGAAAUAACAGAAGCAACCAAUGCUGCAUCUGCAACAACCUCGGCAAGUUGCAUCUCCCUAAACAAUUCAAUUCCUUCCUUAAACAUAUCCAACCUCGCAUAACCUACUAUCAUGGAAGUCCAGCACACUAGAUUUCUAUCGGGAAUUUUAUCAAAAACCUUCCUGGCAUCCUCCAUUUUCCCGCAUUUUGCAUACAUAUCAAUCAAAGACGAACCCAAAAAAACAUCUAAAACAAACCUAUUUACUAUAAUCAAUCCAUGAAGUUCUUUCCCCAAAUCAAGAAAUCCCAUCCUUCCAGAAGCAGUGAGUGCAUUAAUCAAUGUGACCUCAUCAAAUCUAACACAAUUAUCACCCAGUAAAUUCCCAAAAACCUUCAAUGCUUCCGCACUACAAUCACACUGUAAAUACCCAGAUAUCAUACUAUUCCAAGAUACCACAUCCCUGGUAAAAAAUGGAACCAAGUCAAAAACUCUACGUGCUAUUUCAAUUUUUCCACAGGAGGAAUACAUUGAAACUAAAGCAUUUUGCACAAAAAUAUCAAAUUCAAGCCCCAGUUUAAGGCUCAAAGCAUGCACUUCUUGACCUUUAUUCAGAAGCAAAUGACGCCCACAGACUUUAAAAAUGAACGGGAAAGUAUAAUUAUCAGGGAAAAUGCCAUUAUUCAGCAUUAAAUUGUACAGAGUGAUGGAUUCUAUAGGGGUUGAGCUCUGAGAAUGGCCUUUAAACAUAAAAUUAUAGGCAAAGAUAUUUGGGUUUUUGAUUUGGAAGAAGAGGGAGCGAGAAAAGGAAAGAUUAUGAGAGAUAGAGAAAGAGUAGAAAAGUAGUUUGCUUGAUAUGCAUGGGUCUGUAAAGAGACCCGAAGCAAUGGCGUAAGACAGAAUACAAUUGAAAUGGGUUGGGUGUUUGAUACAUUCCGAGAAGCAUUUAUUGGGGUUCGAGAGGAGGAAGAGAGGAAGGAGAAAUUUUGGAGCUUUUUGUUUCCAAGUUUUGAGAGUGGAUGGAAGGCUGGUCAUAGAUGGGGAAAAGAAACUAAUUUUGCCUAGGGUUUUUUGAGGAGAAUCGAAUCAAAACAGGUUUUGCCGGGGAAAGUAACAGACCCCUAACUACAAUUUCAAAG